GCAACAGUAGUUCAGUGGUAGAAUUGCCGCCUCCCACGCGGCAGGCCCGGGUUCAAUUCCCGGCUGUUGCA